UACAGGGAGGUAGAAAUUACACAUAACGCUUUGGCUACGUUGAACACGUAACGUAUACGGACCGUUAGCGGCGCGGAUGUGCCCCUGAACGUAUCUUUUAAACGUCU